AGAGUUUGAUCCUGGCUCAGGACGAACGCUGGCGGCGUGCUUAACACAUGCAAGUCGAACGUGAUUUUUGUGGAAAUUCUUUCGGGAAUGGAAAUGAAAUGAAAGUGGCGAACGGGUGAGUAACACGUGAGCAACCUGCCUUACACAGGGGGAUAGCCGUUGGAAACGACGAUUAAUACCGCAUGAGACCACAGAAUCGCAUGAUAUAGGGGUCAAAGAUUUAUCGGUGUAAGAAGGGCUCGCGUCUGAUUAGCUAGUUGGAAGGGUAAAGGCCUACCAAGGCGACGAUCAGUAGCCGGUCUGAGAGGAUGAACGGCCACAUUGGAACUGAGACACGGUCCAAACUCCUACGGGAGGCAGCAGUGGGGAAUAUUGCACAAUGGGGGGAACCCUGAUGCAGCGACGCCGCGUGAGCGAAGAAGGUUUUCGAAUCGUAAAGCUCUGUCCUAUGAGAAGAUAAUGACGGUAUCAUAGGAGGAAGCCCCGGCUAAAUACGUGCCAGCAGCCGCGGUAAUACGUAUGGGGCGAGCGUUGUCCGGAAUUAUUGGGCGUAAAGGGUACGUAGGCGGUUUUUUAAGUCAGGUGUGAAAGCGUGAGGCUUAACCUCAUUAAGCACUUGAAACUGGAAGACUUGAGUGAAGGAGAGGAAAGUGGAAUUCCUAGUGUAGCGGUGAAAUGCGUAGAUAUUAGGAGGAAUACCGGUGGCGAAGGCGACUUUCUGGACUUUUACUGACGCUCAGGUACGAAAGCGUGGGGAGCAAACAGGAUUAGAUACCCUGGUAGUCCACGCCGUAAACG
rnacentral:rRNA from 1 species